rnacentral:rRNA from 1 species
AACAGGAUUAGAUACCCUGGUAGUCCACGCCGUAAACGGUGGGCGCUAGGUGUGGGGACUGGUUCCACGGUUUCCGUGCCGUAGCUAACGCAUUAAGCGCCCCGCCUGGGGAGUACGGCCGCAAGGCUAAAACCCAAAGGAAUUGACGGGGGUCCGCACAAGCGGCGGAGCAUGUGGAUUAAUUCGAUGCAACGCGAAGAACCUUACCUGGGUUUGACAUGCACUGGAUCGCCCUAGAGAUAGGGUUUCCCUUGUGGCUGGUGCACAGGUGGUGCAUGGCUGUCGUCAGCUCGUGUCGUGAGAUGUUGGGUUAAGUCCCGCAACGAGCGCAACCCUCGCCCCAUGUUGCCAGCGGUUCGGCCGGGGACUCGUGGGGGACUGCCGGGUCAACUCGGAGGAAGGUGGGGAUGACGUCAAGUCAUCAUGCCCCUUAUGCCCAGGGCUUCACACAUGCUACAAUGGCCGGUACAGAGGGUGGCGAGACCGUGAGGUGGAGCGAAUCCCAGAAAGCCGGUCUCAGUUCGGAUCGGGGUCUGCAACUCGACCCCGUGAAGUCGGAGUCGCUAGUAAUCGCAGAUCAGCAAUGCUGCGGUGAAUACGUUCCCGGGCCUUGUACACACCGCCCGUCACGUCAUGAAAGUCGGUAACACCCGAAGCCCAUGGCCCAACCCCCGUGUGGGGGAGGGAGUGGUCGAAGGUGGGACUGGCGAUUGGGACGAAGUCGUAACAAGGUAACC